UUGUUGUUGUUGUUAUUGCUUUUCCACUGAUUUCAUUUUUCCUGGAAAAAUUUAUUUAAACUCAAUUGCCCAUGAGAUCUUCUUUUACUUCCAAGGAAAUCAGACCUAUGACUUCACUUUAGUCUCAUACGCCCCAGCUGCGGAAGUUAUUCUCAGGAGUGCCACAGGCUGGUGACACACCUUUAAAACUUGAGGGAAGGCACUCAAGAUGUGAACAACAGCAACACUAUUUCCAAUACUCGGGGCUGGACUCGAGGGCUCUGAGACUGCAGCAGGACGCAGGGAUGUGGUGACCCUUGCUCUGACGCGGUCUGUACCUGCCCCAUUCUCACGACUGGGCAGCUUCCCAGUGAGGCCCUGGACUUGACCAACAUACAAGGAUGGAUCGAUCGCCUACGGCAGGAACAUUUGAUGAAGGCACAGUCAAGGAAGUGGAGGGAGCUUCAGCAAAGCCUCACAUUGCUCUCCCUGUGGCAGUAGUCUGUUGUGAGUCAGCAGGUCACAUAUCUUUCUGAGGCGGUCCUCUGAAGAUUCCAGACACCAGGGUGCUGGCCCGCUGGGCCUAUGCUACGGUGCACCUCGCUGAAUUCUCACACACAUUCACCUUCCAGCAUUUCCUGCCUCACCGUCUCUAUCCCCGCAUUCCUGCGCUCCUGAUACUUUAUUCAGCAUGGAAAACAUGACUUUGGGUAAAUUAUCUAGUGACUCUGGGCUAAAGAAACUAAUUGGAUUAGAAUUUUCUGUGAAACAAAACAUUAUUGUAUUUAAUUCAACCAGCUGCAACUUCCUUGGUGCUGUGUCUCCUCUAGAACGGAAGCCUCUCUCACACCUGGCUGUAAUCGCGAGUUCAUUUAUAGAAACAUUUUGUGGCCUUCCUCAAGCAAUGCAGCCAUCGGUCUGGGGCUCCCAGCUUCCCCACCAAACCCUGCCAGGUAGUCCUGAACACUUUAUUCAAUUUCAAAUUCAUAAAAACCCUGCUAAAGCUACGCUCAGGUAAAGAAUUUUUUCAUAUUUUAAAGUUCCAUUGUUUUUUUUUUUCUCUUUAAAAAUAAAA